GAUGAACGCUGGCGGCGUGCUUAACACAUGCAAGUCGAACGUGAGGGUGCAGCGAUGUGCCUGAAAGUGGCGAACGGGUGAGUAACACGUAGAUGACCUGCCCUGGAGUGGGGGAUAACCAUUGGAAACGGUGGCUAAUACCGCACACAUCCGGAGAACUGGGAAGUUUUCUGGGGAAAGCUCUGGUGCUUCAGGAGGGGUCUGCGUCCGAUUAGCUAGUUGGUGGGGUAAAGGCUCACCAAGGCGACGAUCGGUAGCUGGUCUGAGAGGACGAUCAGCCACACGGGAACUGAGACACGGUCCCGACUCCUACGGGGGCGA
rnacentral:rRNA from 1 species